UGUAAAAAAAUUCAUUUAUUUUUACUGUUAAAGACUGAUAUGCUUAACGGAACAAUCACGCAGUGACACAUGGUGUGUCACAUGUACGUCAUGUUGAUGUACAGAGACUAGUUUUUAACUGUAGAAUUGGAUGAAAUUUUUAACA
rfam:Gossypium hirsutum cultivar TM-1 chromosome 13, whole genome shotgun sequence